rnacentral:rRNA from 1 species
GAUGAACGCUGGCGGCGUGCCUAAUACAUGCAAGUCGAGCGAACAGAUGAGGAGCUUGCUCCUCUGACGUUAGCGGCGGACGGGUGAGUAACACGUGGAUAACCUACCUAUAAGACUGGGAUAACUUCGGGAAACCGGAGCUAAUACCGGAUAAUAUAUUGAACCGCAUGGUUCAAUAGUGAAAGACGGUUUUGCUGUCACUUAUAGAUGGAUCCGCGCCGCAUUAGCUAGUUGGUAAGGUAACGGCUUACCAAGGCAACGAUGCGUAGCCGACCUGAGAGGGUGAUCGGCCACACUGGAACUGAGACGCGGGCCAGACUCCUACGGGAGGCAGCAGUAGGGAAUCUGCCGCAAGGGGCGAAAGCCUGACGGAGCAACGCGGCGUGAGUGAUGAAGGUCUUCGGAUCGUAAAACUCUGUUAUUAGGGAAGAACAAAUGUGUAAGUAACUAUGCACGUCUGGACGGUACCUAAGCAGAAAGCCACGGCUAACUACGU